rnacentral:rRNA from 1 species
GAUGAACGCUGGCGGCGUGCCUAAUACAUGCAAGUCGGGCGGACAGACGAGGAUCUUGCGGCGGUGAGGUGAGCGACGGACGGGUGAGUAACACGUGGAGGGCCUACCUAAAAGACUGGGAUAACUACGGGAAACCGGAGUUAAUACCGGAUAAUAUAUUGAACCGGAGGGGUCAAUAGUGAAAGACGGGCUUGCUGGCACGUAUAGAGGGUACCGAGCCGCAGUACCGAGGUGGUAAGGUAAGGACUUACCAAUUCAACGAUGCGUAGCCGACCUGAGAGAGGGAUCGGCCCCACUCGAACUGAGUCACCGUCCAGACUCCUACGGGAGCCCGCCGUAGGGACUUUUCCGCAGCGGGCGAAAGCCUGUCGGCGCAACGCCCCGUAAGUGAUGAGGGUCUUCGGAUCGUAAAACUCUGUUAUUAGGGAUGAUCAACUGUGUAAGUAACUAUGCACAUCUUGACGGUACCUAAUCAGAAAGCCACGGCUAACUCCGUG